rnacentral:rRNA from 1 species
CCUCUCGGGGGUAAGCGGGCAGAACUUACAAGUAUUUGAUGAGUGAUUCAGACUUGAACUUGGUAGUUGUGAGAUUAAUGUUAAGUUGUUCUUUUGGGAAUUGACUAAUUUAAUUUCUCUAUUCUACUAAGGUUACGUCGCAUUUCUCUUAUCAUUCGGGUUGUAUGCAACUAAAUGUAUAGUUGAGGAGUUGAGUGCUGUAAAUCCUUUGUGGUUUAAGCCUUGAUUUAACCUACUAUAAUUGUGGUUGUUAAAAUUAUUGAACAUGAGCUUGUCUCGGUCAAUUACUUUUACGAAUUGUUGACAUUGAUUUAUACGGACGGGUAACCGUAGUAUGAGUUAUGUUUUCGUUGUCUGUAAGAGUAAAUUUGGCAUUGUUCAAUAUUACAAUCUAAAGCAUGCGUGGUCUGCCUGU